rnacentral:rRNA from 1 species
UGAGGAAUAUUGGUCAAUGGAGGAAACUCUGAACCAGCCAAGUCGCGUGAAGGAUGACGGUCCUAUGGAUUGUAAACUUCUUUAGUAGGCGAGUAAGGAUAGGUACGUGUACCUAUUAGAAAGUAGCCUAAGAAUAAGUAUCGGCUAACUCCGUGCCAGCAGCCGCGGUAAUACGGAGGAUACGAGCGUUAUCCGGAUUUAUUGGGUUUAAAGGGUGCGUAGGUGGAUGAUUAAGUCAGUGGUGAAAAGCUAUGGCUCAACCAUAGUCUUGCCGUUGAUACUGGUUAGCUUGGGUGUAGAUGAUGUAGGCGGAACGUGUAGUGUAGCGGUGAAAUGCAUAGAUAUUACGCAGAACUCCGAUUGCGAAGGCAGCUUACAAAACUACUACUGACACUGAGGCACGAAAGCGUGGGUAUCAAACAGG